rnacentral:rRNA from 1 species
AUUGAACGCUGGCGGCAUGCUUUACACAUGCAAGUCGAACGGUAACAGGGAGCUUGCUCCGCUGACGAGUGGCGAACGGGUGAGUAAUAUAUCGGAACGUACCCAAGAGUGGGGGAUAACGUAGCGAAAGUUACGCUAAUACCGCAUACGAUCUAAGGAUGAAAGCAGGGGACCUUCGGGCCUUGUGCUCCUGGAGCGGCCGAUAUCUGAUUAGCUAGUUGGUGAGGUAAAGGCUCACCAAGGCGACGAUCAGUAGCUGGUCUGAGAGGACGACCAGCCACACUGGAACUGAGACACGGUCCCGACUCCUACGGGAGGCAGCAGUGGGGAAUUUUGGACAAUGGGCGCAAGCCUGAUCCAGCAAUGCCGCGUGAGUGAAGAAGGCCUUCGGGUUGUAAAGCUCUUUUGUCAGUGAAGAAACGGGAUUGGCUAAUAUCCAGUCCUAAUGACGGUACCUGAAGAAUAAGCACCGGCUAACUACGUG